UAGGGAAUCUUCGGCAAUGGGGGGAACCCUGACCGAGCAACGCCGCGUGAGUGAAGAAGGUUUUCGGAUCGUAAAGCCCUGUUGUUAAGGAAGAACGAGUGUGAGAAUGGAAAGUUCAUGCUGUUACGGUACUUAACCAGAAAGGGACGGCUAACUACGUGCCAGCAGCCGCGGUAAUACGUAGGUCCCGAGCGUUGUCCGGAUUUAUUGGGCGUAAAGCGAGCGCAGGCGGUUAGAAAAGUCUGAAGUGAAAGGCAGUGGCUCAACCAUUGUAGGCUUUGGAAACUGUUUAACUUGAGUGCAGAAGGGGAGGGUGGAAUUCCAUGUGUAGCGGUGAAAUGCGUAGAUAUAUGGGGGAACACCGGUGGCGAAAGCGGCUCUCUGGUCUGUAACUGACGCUGAGGCUCGAAAGCGUGGGGAGCGAACAGG
rnacentral:rRNA from 1 species